UAAGGGCGUAUGGGGGAUGUCUUGGCAUCAGAUGGCGAUGAAGGGCGUGGAAGACUGCGAUAAUCUUGGGGAAGUUGUCAAACGAGCGUUGAUCCCGAGGUUCCCGAAUUAUCAUAUACUGAAUACAUAGGUAUAUGAGGCACACGCGGUGAACUGAAACAUCUCAGUAACCGCAGGAAAGGAAAGCAACAGCGACUUCGUUAGUAGCGGCGAGCGAAAGCGAAUCUAGCCUAAACCGUCUUGCUUCGGCAAGGCGGGGUCGUGGGGCUUGUCAUUGUGGAGUUACAAAACUGUUUGCUAGAAGAAUUCGUUGGAAAGCGAAACCAUAGAGGGUGACAGUCCCGUAUUUGAAAGUAAACAGACUUCCGACAGGUACCCGAGUAGGUCCGGCCACGUGGAAUCCGGACUGAAUCUGGGAGGUCCAUCUCCUAAGGCUAAGUAUUCUCUGAUGACCGAUAGUGAAAAGUAGGGUGACCGAAAGAUGAAAAGAACCCCUGUUAGGGGAGGGAAAGAACCUGAAACCAUACGCUUACAAGCUGUCGGAGCACUAUUAUCUUCGGAUAAGUGUGACGGCGUGCCUUUUGCAUAAUGAUCCGGCGAGUUACCGUCAAUGGCUCGAUUAAGGCCUUCCGGGCCGUAGUCUCAGCGAAAGCAAGUCUGAAUAGGGCGUUUUGUCAGUGGCGGUAGACGCGAAACCAGGUGAACUACCCAUGAGCAGGUUGAAGCGCGGGUAAGACUGCGUGGAGGACCGAACCCACCUAGGUUGAAAACUGGGGGGAUGACUUGUGGGGAGGAGUAAAAGUCUAAUCAAACCUGGAGAUAGCUCGUUCUCUCCGAAAUAGCUUUAGGGCUAGCCUUGAGCCACUACGUAAUGGGGGUAGAGCACUGAUUUGGACUGGGGCCCUUCCCGGGUACCCACCCUAGUUAAACUCCGAAUACCAUUGCGAUUAUCUCAGGAGUCAGUCCACGAGGGAGAAGCUUCGUGGUCGAGAGGGAAACAACCCAGACCGCCUGCUAAGGUCCCAAAGUCUUGCUAAGUCACUAAGGAUGUUAAGAUACUGUGACAGCCAGGAUGUUGGCUUAGAAGCAGCCAUCAUUUAAAAAGUGCGUAAUAGCUUACUGGUCGAGUGUUUUAGCACCGAUAAUGAACGGGAGUAAGCAAGACACCGAAGCAGCGGAUUCAGCUCACGCUGAGUGGUAGGAGAGCGUUCCAGCACAGAUACAAGCCGUACCGAAAGGAGCGGUGUCGGGUGCUGGAAGUGAUUAUGCCGGAAUGAGUAACGAUAAAACAGGUGAGAAUCCUGUUCGCCGCAAACCUAAGGUUUCCUGGGGAAGGUAAUUCCGCCCAGGGUUAGCCGGUACCUUAGUUGAGGCCGAAAGGCGUAGACGAUGGAGAGCAGGUUAAUAUUCCUGCGCCGGAUAUGUGGACCGAUGGGGGGACGUUGUGUAGAUUGUGAUCGGGCUGACAGAAAUGCCCGUAGGGGAAGACAAGGUCGUGGAUAGGAAAAUCCGCCACAUCAGACCAAGGCUUUCACUCGAGUCCAAUGAUGACGAAGUCAUAUGACGCAUAACCAAGAAAAGCCUCUAAGGAUUGAAGCAUAUCUGACCGUACUAAAACUGACACAGGUAGGUGAGGCGCGUAGCCUAAGGCGCUCGAGAAAACGCUGGUUAAGGAACUCUGCAAAUUGACCCCGUAAGUUAGCGAUAAGGGGUGCCUCCGACGGUUCACGCUGUUGGAGGCCACAGAAAAUCGGCUCUGGCGACUGUUUACUAAAAACACAGGACUCUGCGAACUCGUAAGAGGAUGUAUAGAGUCUGACUCCUGCUCGGUGCCGGUAAGUUAAGGAAGAGGGUUAGCCUUCGGGCGAAGCUCGCAACCGAAGCUCCGGUAAACGGCGGCCGUAACUAUGACGGUCCUAAGGUAGCGAAGUUCCUUGUCGGGUAAGUUCCGACCUGCAUGAAAGGCG
rnacentral:rRNA from 1 species